rnacentral:tRNA from 3 species
UGGGGAAUAGUGUAACGGUAGCACAAAUGAUUCUGGAUCAUUUCGUCUAGGUUCGAAUCCUAGUUCCCCAGCCA